rnacentral:lncRNA from 1 species
UGCUAAUUUCCCAGGGUGAAAAUUUACAAGCCUGUGAGUGCAGUCAGCACAAUCGCAUGCAUAUGCCCCUCACAGACGCUGGGGACCCGCGCACAGACUGUGACCUCGGCGAGGAGUCGACUCGGGAAAGACCCUACCUCCUGGACCUGUCCAAAAGAACCCCUGCGAAAGAGCUCCUAGGAAAAGGAUGAAAACUUUAAGGAACAAUGAAGGAGAGAGGUAGUGCUCUGAAACGGUGAGAAGAAAAAAAUUACACAGCACACCUGGGACAGAUGAAGCCAAACUAGUGCUUUUAUAAUGCCAAUCAGCAGGGCUGUUAUCAUCCCUCUAAUUAGGAAAGCAGCCUAAAACAGAGAGCACUUGGGGAAAUGGUAAUGUUAUGGUUUUGCACUUAAAAGGAGAGACAUUUCCUGCACUGUAAGAAUCUAGGAUUGGGGCUGACAAGUCCUUUAAUUAAUGGGCAGGAUUCCCUGUGUGUGCAAGUGUGUGUGCAUGUUUUAAUUCAUAAAAGUGGACAAAGGGUGCCAGAGGAGGGGGUAGAGACUGAUGGGGGAAGGAGGGUGAAUCCUUAGUUUGAAGAUGAACAGAGUUCAUAGCUACAUUCAUCCCUUUCUUUUUCUUUUUCAACCUCCAAAGGACUAAGGUGAAGAUGGGAAUAAGCUGUUUUUAUAGGAAUUUGAAUGUUAUAUUGAAUAAAAGCCCUAGGCCAGCGGGCCAACUCCAAGUUUGAGGGAACUCACAUUUCAAGUUGGCAAAGCCUUGUGGCCCCAAUUCACUGUCUUGAGUCCAUAUUUUACCCAGUUCAUCUGGACUUUAGUGUGGACUAUUUUCCCACUCAAAAGUGACCAGGAUUCUCUUUCGUUUUCCAGGAUUGAAAAAAUAUGUAGCUUAAAUAAUUCCAGGAACAAGAUUACUCUUACUGUUUAAAAAAAUGUGGCCUAGUGGCUUAAGAAAAAGAGUUAAUAUUGUCUUUUUGAGGGUUUUGAAAUUGAACACUUUGAACCUAGCAGCAUCGGGUUCUCAAUACUAUUUUAAAUGGCUUUUUAAUGCCUAGAAAAAAAAAGUCUCCAAUGACUCUGAGAGAUAUUUCUCAAUUUCUUCUUCCCCUCUCUCUGAGAUUAUUCACAAAUAUGCAUAUUCCCAUAUAUGUGCAUAUAUAAAUUCAUAGGGAGGGGACUGUUUAAUGGGGCAAUUGAUCUAAGAUUUGGUAAGAUCUUGUCUGAUUUAUAAUCUUUCCCCCUAAAUAAAUCCAAAAUGCUCUAUUGCUACAUCAGAUAUACCAGAGCAUUGCCUAAAAAUAACUAUUGCCACUUACAAGAACAUACUAAAGCGAUGCUGAUUUUUACAAAAGUCGUCACAAUUGAUUAAACAAAUUUAUCUUACAUCAAACUAGUGCUUGACUUAUGAAUCUCAGUAUGUAAAACAAACCAGGUUCUUACAAAGAACAUAGCCUAGUCAUUCAAUAUUUUGUCAUAGUAUGGAUGUCUUUUAGAGGAAAAUAUAGCCUCUGCUUUCAAAAUAUCACUGAAUUUAGAACCCUAAAUGUAGCCUUAUAUGAGUAGAGGAGUUUACAAUAGUGUUUUUUUAAAAGAACUUUAACAUUUUGUGAAAAAAUUGAAAGAAAGAAUAAUCCUUAAAGAAAUGAAUGGUGUUAGCACUUCCCUUCUACAGUUGAAAUGGCAAAACAGUUUCCUAAUUCCAAGGGAGCAGAAAGUGAACCCACAUAGUAUAAUUUUCAAUAUCUCAAUGAGAUGAAAGAAUAAACCAAGAGGAGGUCCCAAGAUUAUUUUUAGAGUUUAUUAGAGAUCACUUUCAGUGGAAUUUAAACCACAAUAAAUAUCAUGUUUUUUGUACUUAUUGGAAAGAAAAUUUUCAUCACUUUAAAAGAAAACUAUUUCCCAAACAAAUUAGUAUGCUUCAUUCUUGUGUUCCUCCAAGAGGUGGGAAAAAUACGUAAUAUUUUCAAUGUCCUCAUACAAUUUACUUUAACUCUUAAAU